rnacentral:tRNA from 1 species
GGGUCGUUAGCUCAGUUGGUAGAGCAGUUGACUUUUAAUCAAUUUGGUCGCAGGUUCGAAUCCUGCACGAACCC